AGCGAACGCUGGCGGCAGGCCUAAUACAUGCAAGUCGAGCGCACCUUCGGGUGAGCGGCGGACGGGUGAGUAACGCGUGGGAACGUGCCCUUUGGUUCGGAACAACACAGGGAAACUUGUGCUAAUACCGAAUGUGCCCUUCGGGGGAAAGAUUUAUCGCCAUUGGAGCGGCCCGCGUUGGAUUAGGUAGUUGGUGGGGUAAAGGCCCACCAAGCCGACGAUCCAUAGCUGGUCUGAGAGGAUGAUCAGCCACACUGGGACUGAGACACGGCCCAGACUCCUACGGGAGGCAGCAGUAGGGAAUCUUGCGCAAUGGGCGAAAGCCUGACGCAGCCAUGCCGCGUGAAUGAUGAAGGUCUUAGGAUUGUAAAAUUCUUUCACCGGGGAAGAUAAUGACGGUACCCGGAGAAGAAGCCCCGGCUAACUUCGUGCCAGCAGCCGCGGUAAUACGAAGGGGGCUAGCGUUGCUCGGAAUUACUGGGCGUAAAGGGCGCGUAGGCGGAUAGUUUAGUCAGAGGUGAAAGCCCAGGGCUCAACCUUGGAACUGCCUUUGAUACUGGCUAUCUUGAGUUCGGGAGAGGUGAGUGGAAUGCCGAGUGUAGAGGUGAAAUUCGUAGAUAUUCGGCGGAACACCAGUGGCGAAGGCGACUCACUGGCCCGAUACUGACGCUGA
rnacentral:rRNA from 1 species